rnacentral:rRNA from 1 species
GGGCCCUCUGGGUCCACCUCCCACCCGUGGCUAUCGUACCUUGUUGCGUUCGGCGGGRCCGCCGUUUCGACGGACGCCGGGGAGGCCUUGCGCCCCCGGGCCCGCGCCCGCCGAAUACCCCAACAUGAACGCUGUUCUGAAAGUAUGCAGUCUGAGUUGAUUAUCGUAAUCAGUUAAAACUUUCAUCAACGGAUCUCUGGGUUCCGGCAUCGAUGAAGAACGCACCGAACUGCGAUAASUAAUGUGAAUUGCAGAAUUCACUGAAUCAUCGAGUCUUUGAACGCACAUUGCGCCCCCUGGUAUUCCGGGGGGGAUGCCUGUCCGAGCGUCAUUGCUGCCCUCAGGCACGGCUUGUGUGUUGGGCCCCCGUCCCCCUCUCCCGGGGGACGGGCCCUAAAGGCAGCGGCGGCACCGCGUCCGGUCCUCGAGCGUAUGGGGCUUUGUCACCUGCUCUGUAGGCCCGGCCGGCGCCAGCCGACACCCAACUUUAUUUUUCUAAGGUUGACCUCGGAUCAGGUAGGGAUACCCGCUGAACUUAAGCAUAUCAAUAAGCGGAGGAAAAGAAACCAACAGGGAUUGCCUCAGUAACGGCGAGUGAAGCGGCAAGAGCUCAAAUUUGAAAGCUGGCCCCUUCGGGGUCCGCGUUGUAAUUUGCAGAGGAUGCUUCGGGUGCAGCCCCCGUCUAAGUGCCCUGGAACGGGCCGUCAUAGAGGGUGAGAAUCCCGUCUGGGACGGGGUGUCUGCGUCCGUGUGAAGCUCCUUCGACGAGUCGAGUUGUUUGGGAAUGCAGCUCUAAAUGGGUGGUAAAUUUCAUCUAAAGCUAAAUACUGGCCGGAGACCGAUAGCGCACAAGUAGAGUGAUCGAAAGAUGAAAAGCACUUUGAAAAGAGAGUUAAACAGCACGUGAAAUUGUUGAAAGGGAAGCGUUUGCGACCAGACUCGCCCGCGGGGUUCAGCCGGCAUUCGUGCCGGUGUACUUCCCCGUGGGCGGGCCAGCGUCGGUUUGGGCGGCCGGUCAAAGGCCUUCGGAAUGUAUCACCUCUCGGGGUGUCUUAUAGCCGAGGGUGCAAUGCGGCCUGCCUGGACCGA